CCCGCAACCGAUCAGGACACCACCACGGGUCAAUCGGCAACUCCUGCUAUCGCCAUCGGCAACGUCCCUGCUAUCGCCAUCGGCAAACAUUGAUACUAGUCAUCGGUUAGGAAUGCGCUAUCACUUCCGGACCUAGCCAUAUCCAACCGCCCCUUCAUCGGCAACUUUCCUCAUCGGCAACGCUUCCACAGUCUAGUUACCGUUGCUCCGCCUGCCGAUCUUGUACUCUACCGGUUUUUGUGCACGUAUCCAAAAAAUGGUGUCAACAGAACGUGCAAGUGAAUCUUGAUUUAACCACAUGACAAGCUCCUAAGGGUCUACACAGCUUGACCACAGUCGAUGCUCAUAAGAAGUAAAAAGUAAAUGUGUGGCUCAAAGUCUAGCA
rnacentral:lncRNA from 1 species